rnacentral:rRNA from 1 species
AGAUUAAGCCAUGCAUGUCUAAGUGCAAGCCGUCCCGUACGGUGAAACCGCGAAAGGCUCAUUAAAUCAGUUAUGGUUCCUUAGAUAGUACCCACGUUACUUGGAUAACUGUGGUAAUUCUAGAGCUAAUACAUGCCGACAGAGUUCCGACCCUCGCGGCGGCGGUUCGCCGCGUGCCGCGUUCGGAAGGAACGCUUUUAUUAGAUCAAAACCGGCCGGGCUUGUCGGGCCUUUUAGGCUCGGCGGCCAGCGGCCCGCGCAAUGACUUGGUGACUCUGAAUAACUUUGAGCUGAUCGUACGACCUCGCGUCGACGACGUAUCUUUCAAAUGUCUGCCUUAUCAACUGUCGAUGGUAAGUUCGACGCUUACCAUGGUGUUAACGGGUAACGGGGAAUCAGGGUUCGAUUCCGGAGAGGGAGCCUGAGAAACGGCUACCACAUCCAAGGAAGGCAGCAGGCGCGUAAAUUACCCACUCUUCGUUCGAGGAGGUAGUGACGAAAAAUACAGAUACGGGAACUCUUCCGAGGCCCCGUAAUCUGAAUGAGUACACUCUAAAACCUUGGUCACACGAGGAUCAAU